UUGAAAAUGUCUGCAUUUACUACGUUGUUAUUCAUAGUCUAACGGUAGUACAAGUUGGGUCUCUGCCGUGUCUAUCAGACAAAUCUAAGAAGAUAAUUGAAAAAACCAAAAAGACAUUGGAUGGUCUGGAAAAGGAACUAGAGAAGAAAGAAUGGAAAACGUACAAAGAUCAUUGUUAUCAUCUUGGAGGAGAUGUUGAAACUUGGUUCAUCGCAGAG